rnacentral:lncRNA from 1 species
CCUAAUUGUCCAUUUAAUUUACUUUCAGUCAGUCGUUUAACUCGUUCUCUUGAUUGUAGUGUCACCUUCACUAAUAAUAAUGUUACCCUGCAGGAUCGGAGUUCGGGACGGACGAUUGGUGUCGGAUGUGAGUCUCAAGGCCUUUAUUACCUCUCAGUGUCAUCUCAGACAUGCUCAGCCAAAGAUUCUCCACUCACUAUCCAUGCUCAGUUAGGUCAUCCCAGUCUUUCCAAACUACAUAAGUUGGUGCCAAAUUUAUCGAAGGUAUCUAAUUUACAUUGUGAGUCGUGUCAGCUAGGGAAACACACUCGUGGUCAGUUUCCCAAUCGAGUCAAUAAACGAGCUUCGUCCCCUUUUGCUUUAGUUCACACCGAUGUUUGGGGUCCCUCGCGUACUGUCUCUACUCUUGAGUCUAGGUAUUUUGUCACCUUUAUUGAUGAUUUUUCACGUUGCACGUGGUUAUUUUUAAUGAAGAAUAGGUCUGAAUUAUUUUCUAUUUUUGAACAAUUCUAUCAAGAAAUAAGAACUCAAUUCGGUGUGUCUAUCCGUACCUUAAGAAGUGACAAUGCCCGUGAAUAUUUAUCCCAACAAUUUCANAAGGGAUUGGUACUGUUCGAAUUCUACCUUCUCUCUCGGUUACUUCUGUCUUCUAUGUACCUAAUUGUCCAUUUAAUUUACUUUCAGUCAGUCGUUUAACUCGUUCUCUUGAUUGUAGUGUCACCUUCACUAAUAAUAAUGUUACCCUGCAGGAUCGGAGUUCGGGACGGACGAUUGGUGUCGGAUGUGAGUCUCAAGGCCUUUAUUACCUCUCAGUGUCAUCUCAGACAUGCUCAGCCAAAGAUUCUCCACUCACUAUCCAUGCUCAG